CAGCCAUGCCGCGUGAGUGAUGAAGGCCCUAGGAUUGUAAAGCUCUUUCACCGGUGAAGAUAAUGACGGUAACCGGAGAAGAAGCCCCGGCUAACUUCGUGCCAGCAGCCGCGGUAAUACGAAGGGGGCUAGCGUUGUUCGGAUUUACUGGGCGUAAAGCGCACGUAGGCGGGCUAAUAAGUCAGGGGUGAAAUCCCGGGGCUCAACCCCGGAACUGCCUUUGAUACUGUUAAUCUUGAGUAUGGUAGAGGUGAGUGGAAUUCCGAGUGUAGAGGUGAAAUUCGUAGAUAUUCGGAGGAACACCAGUGGCGAAGGCGGCUCACUGGACCAUUACUGACGCUGAGGUGCGAAAGCGUGGGGAGCAAACAGGAUUAGAUAC
rnacentral:rRNA from 1 species